rnacentral:misc_RNA from 1 species
GCAUCUUAUGGAUGGUCUCAUUUCAUACACUUUUCAGUCAGAGGAUGCACAGUGCUCUUUAUUCCACAACAUUGUCAGGGAGCUUCUUGCUUGUGUUGUAAUGCGACCAGUAUUAAAUAUAGCUAAUCCAAGGUUCAUCAACGAGAGGAUUGAGUCUCUAGUUGUUUCUGUAAAGAAGGGUGAUAAAGGGAACACAGCAGCAGAAACUGAACCACAGUCCAGGCCGGUUGGAUCUGGUAAAAUAUCAGCAGAUCAUUUUUCUCGGGUUUUAGAUCCUUCUGCCAAGGGCGUAGAGCUUGUACAACUAAAAAAUGACCAACCUAAUAACACUGAGGAGCAUGCCAUGAACACUAUGAAUGGAACAGAUUUGUUGUUGGACCCUUUGCUUUCACUUGAUGCUCGGUCUACUCGUUCUUGGAGUUCUUUGCCAUCACAAGCCGAUGCAGAUGACGGAAGAGGUAUUCAUAGACACCACUCUGGAGGAGAGUGGGGUGAAAGGCUAGAUUUGCUUUCUCGUAGAAAGACUGAAGCCCUGGCCCCUGAAAAUUUAGACAAUAUAUGGGCAAAAGGCAGAAACUAUAAACGGAAAGAAGAGGCCAAUCUAGCAUCUGAUAAACUCAAGAAGAGUUCGUUGGUAAGUGCACCAAAAUCACCAGGACACUCAAAGGAAGCUAAACAGAAAGAGAGUGAGAGAGAAAACAAGGUUGGAGCUAAGCAUUAUGUGAAGGACAAUGCUCCCUCGCAAGGUGAUUUGAAAAGACCAAUUUAUCCUCCAGAUUACUCGUAUCAAGAGGAAAAUGAACAUAGCUCAGAUGAGGAUGAAUCAGAGAGCACUAGUUCUUACACUACUGAAGAUGAAGAACCCAGCAGUGUGACUGGUUUUGACUCUCCAGGAACUCAAGUGUGGGAUGGGAAAAAUAUAAGGAAUGUCAAUCACAUUCAUCAUCCACUUGAAAAUAAUGAAGGCCAUAAGAGAAGAAAUGGAAAAGCUAGUAAAACACAUAUUCGCUCUAAACACUUAAAUAGAGUACUGUCUGGACGGAAAAGGUCUAGAUUAAGCAACCAAACGGAAGACUUGUGGCAAGAGACACAAAGAACCAGCUUCUUACAGGGAGAUGGACAAGAUAUAUUAAAAUCCAAAGAAAAUGUGAAACCGGAUGGUCCAAGUGAUGACUCUGAGACAGAAAUAUUCAGUAGAAUUUCUAGUGACACUAACGCAUCAUCAUAUGUAUCGUCAAGAAGCUUUUCGGAAAUUCAUAGUAUGGGUCCUUAUUCUACAACAGGUUCUAUAAUUGCUGAUUCUUUUUUGAAAUUAAGAAGUGAGGUCCUGAGUGCUAAUAUCGUAAGAAGUGGCUCCAAAACUUUUGCUGUUUAUUCCAUAUCUGUUACAGACAUGAACAACAAUAGUUGGUCUAUCAAAAGAAGGUUUCAACAUUUUGAGGAGCUACACUGGCGUCUUAAGGAGUUUCCGGAGUACAAUCUUCAUUUACCUCCCAAGCAUUUCCUCUCUUCAAGUCUGGAUGUUCCUGUCAUUCGAGAACGGUGCAAAUCACUUGACAUAUAUUUGAAGAAACUUUUGCUGCUCCCAACUGUUUCCAACUCCAUCGAAGUAUGGGACUUCCUCAGUGUGGAUUCACAGACAUAUAGCUUCUCAAACUCCUUGUCCAUAAUUGAAACAUUACAGGCUGACCUGGACAGGACUGUACGCCAAAAGAGUAAAGAACCUCCGCAUGGCAUAAGCCCUCGAACUGAUCUGUUAUCCUCCAAGGGGAAGCAUUCUACAGAAAGCAAGAAUCUGACUUCAAGGAUAGAACACGAUCAUGCAGGACAUGAAUCAAGGUUCAGGAAAGAUUAUGUUGCACUCUCUCCUCCAAAAAGACCUCUCACAGAAACUUUUGAGGAUUCAAAUAGUGACAACAAGGUGCAUGCAAAUAGAAAAUCAACCCCAAACAUGCAGACGACAUCAAAAUCAGUUGAAACUAACUCACUUGCAUCACCUGAAUCUCUUGUUGCUGCUACCGUGGAUCCUAUCUUUCCCAGUGAGUGGGUGCCACCAAAUUUAACUGUGCCUAUAUUAGAUCUUGUCGACGUCAUUUUUCAGCUCCAAGAUGGUGGAUGGAUCAGGAGGAAUGCAUUCUGGGUGGCUAAACAGGUUUUACAACUAGGAAUGGGUGAUGCAUUUGAUGAUUGGCUGAUUGAGAAAAUCCAGCGUCUGCGCAGGGGUUCAGUAGUUGCAGCAGGUAUCCAACGUGUUGAGCAGAUUCUCUGGCCGGAUGGUAUAUUCAUCACAAAGCACCCAGCACGUCAACAUCCUGCUCCCACCUCAUCCCCUAAUUGUCCUCCAGGCCAACCUUCAACUCCAUUAUCUUCGCCCAGGCUGGAGAAUUCACAGAAACUGGAUGAGAUGCAGAAACUAGAAGCAGAGCAACGUGCAAAAUUUGUUUAUGAGCUAAUGAUUGAUAAGGCACCAGCUGCUAUUGUAGGACUUGUUGGUCACAAAGAAUACGAACAGUGUGCAAAGGAUCUUUAUUACUUCAUCCAGUCAUCUGUGUGUAUGAAGCAGUUAGUCCUUGAUCUUCUCGAGCUAUUACUGGUGUCCGCAUUCCCAGAGCUGACUUCUGUAUUUAACACAUUGCAUGAGGAGAAGGAGAGAUUUGGAGAACUCAAAAUAGAUUAAGUGGAUCGUUUGCCAAAAUGCCAUUUUUCGUCGUACAAUUUUAAGGGAAAUCGUCAACAAGUUUAUCCCGUUAAUCAUGGUAUUCUUUCUGUGGAAGCACAAAAUGCUAGGUUCAUUUUGUCAAAUAUGUUGUCUGGAAAUCCACAAAUGAUGGAUUAGUAAAUAGCAAGAUAUGACUUAUUUAGACUGAAUUUGAAUAUUUAAGAUGAAGAUAGAGUUUGGAUAUAGAUUCUCAAAUAUUCUUAUGACUGGUCAUUUUUGGGUGAAGUUUCAUUAUG